rnacentral:misc_RNA from 1 species
AAGAUUCUGACUUUCGAGUCGAACCUCUUCAGCUGUGCGCUCACGCUGCACGCUGUUGAACCUUUCACACCUGUGCGCUAUUCGGUAGCGGUUAGCUUGACACUAGCCGCUUCCGCCUUUUACAUCAAACUACAGUCUGGAAUGUCUAAUACCAUAAAGUAA